GGUAUCAACUACCUAAGUUAGAUAUACUUUAUAUUUUGCAUUUAAUGAGAUCUUUAAAUGUCAUUUAUUGAGGGAGAGAUUGAUAAAAUGCUCUAGUAAUGGAUUGAUUUCGUUCGUUCCAUUUAAUUGAUGGUCGUUUCAAAGCAUUCUUUAAUCUUUUAUUUUUUUGCAGACAUUCUUCUUAAUGAUGUCGUUAAUGUCAAGGUCCAAGAGUUAAUUUCAUAAUCACUAUUAUGUACAUAUUAUAUUCAUGAUUGAAGCAUACAACAUAUUCUUCUGCUAUUAGUAUGACUAUAAAAAAAAGUCAGAUUGUGUCUAAUGUGGAGGAAACAUGAGGAUUUUAGAACGAGGUUUAUGUAUUUGUGAGUAUGUAAUGAGGCGUUUCAUAUUUUCUACAUCGUCAACAAAGUUACUUGAGAAAAAUUUGAAGCAAUACUUUCUAGGACAAUUUGACAAAAAUAUUUGAAUAAAAAAGGCAAAGUUGCGAAUAUAGAAGAUUCCCCUCCCCCUCUCUCAGGUCACGGGUCUGCUCUAGGCACCUAUGGUUCCUGCACCACUGAUGCAAUGGAAAUGCUUCAUGGACAACAUCAAAGAAAUAUAUAUUUCUACUUAUAUCCUGAUCCAUCAUGUUAUUGUUGUCAUUAGGAAAAUUGCCGUUAGAUCUUAUUGGAAAGGAUGAAGAGAGUAUUUCUAAGGAAAGUAUUUUAUACGCUCUAUGACUAAGGGGUGGAAACACGGAACUUAUAUACUUGUAUUUUAUUGAUUUGAGAGGUUUAUUUAAAUCCCAGGAUGUAUUUUAUCGCAGUGAGAUUCAAGGCUUAGGGCAUCAACUCUUCUUCGUGUGAGUGACACUCCAAAAAAAGUGGCUAGGCUGACGGGAAUGGCUCGGAAGACCAUCUACAAUGUUAUGAAGAGGGUAAAGCACAAUUGGCCCAAAGAGAGGAAAGAGGUCUCCGGAAAAACCCCUAAUAAAUAAGGAUGCCCCUGAUUUGGUUCCCAGAAGUUUUACCUUAUUAUGUACAAAUAAAUUUAAUAAAAA
rnacentral:lncRNA from 1 species